rnacentral:lncRNA from 1 species
UUGGGUCCGCUGGGUUCGUUCUGCCCACUCAGCCUGGCAGGCUGCACUCAGCCCACGCUACCGGCCUGGAUCCCAUGCCUCCAAGGGAGACUGCAAGUCAGGUGUGGAGCGGCAAGGGGUGUGUGAGUGAGCGUGGGUUCUGGCAGCUUCAUAUGCCGCCAUGGGCACUGGCUCUCUGCAAGCUGUGGCUGGACCAGGUGCACCACAAGCAGCUUCCCUAGCUGGCAACAGAGGAUGCAGUGGCACCUGGAAGAUGCCAGGAACUGCAAGGGCCCCAAAGAGGGAGUCACAGCCCUGGCUCAGAGAGCUCUCCAGUCUGGGCUCACCGAAGGGCCGCAGCAAUUCUUUCCUUCUCUUUGCCCGCGAUGUGGCAAGCAAGGGGCAUGUUAGAGCUGUGUUUGUGCUACAGCUCUUUUAGCCUCACCAUCCAGCGGGUUCUGAGUUUUUGUCCUGCAUCCAGGAAUAAUGAGGUACACAGACUAGUGAAGGGUGAGAAAGAUGAAGAGCAGCUUUAUCAAGUGAUAGAACAGUUCAGAGACCAGCGCGGGGCAGCUCCUUUCCGCAGCCAGAGUGUCCUAGUUGGCCAUGCCCAGUUAAAUACCAGCAUACAAGGAAACCUCACCUCGUUGGGAGAAUAUUUCACACCCCUCCAAACUAUCAGCACAGUGGAAACUUGGCAUGUCCCACAUUAAAUCUGGCUGCAGCUGUCUCAGGGAUCCAAGACUGAAUGACUGGUGAUUUUACAUUGAUGUUCUGCUGAACCUUCCUGGUACCUGAGUGGUUAAAAUCUGAGAAUUUCUAGAAGAAAAGAAAGUACGUCUAAAGCAAUGCUAGAAAGGAGCUAAUAAAUUCUUCAGGAUUAACAUCAAAGUCUGAUGCAAACUAAUUUAAUCCCCUUGAUAUUCAGGGAUAAAUUAAAGCUAAUGAAUUACAAGUCUUUUGUUGCAAUUCUCCUUUGCAAAUAUUGUGAUAAUUUUUCAUUGUUAACAUUAUUGGAAAGCUGCUUUCUAACUGUCUUGAACAUAUUUCCCUACUGAGCAUCUGUACCUUUAGAAUUCUAAUAAUGAAUGCAUUGAUUAAUUUUCAAGAUUCUAAACUUUUGUUUUAAUGGCAUUUUAUUCUGAGGAAAUAGACAAAUACAGGCUGUGUGUAUGUGUGUGUCAUUACCAAUACCUUUGAAAUCGGCCAUAAACUAUUUUUGCCAUAGGCUUGAAAGUCUUCUCCUGCUGUCUUUAAAAGAUGUUGUAGGGUCAGGGGAAAACUUCUCUUUUGACCUCUGAAGUUUCACUGAAAAAUCAACUCACAAAAGGUAAAUUAAUUGGAGAAAAGGCAUAGAAAUGUAAUUAAUGUGUGUACAAGGGAGAACCACAGGGUGAUUACUUAUCCCCCAAGAUGGUUCAGAAGUUUAUAUACUAUCCUAACAAAGCAUAUUAUGGGAGGGAGGAGAACGGAAAUUCUGUUGGGAGGAUCACCAGGAAGAAUGAAUGGAUUAGGCAACAGGGAUUAAUUUAUACAUUAUCUUGUGACAGGGUCUGGCCAGGGAUGGUUACAUUCUUGGUCUUACAGGAAAGAGAAGAAAAAGCAAUUGCUCCUGUUGAUGAGUCUGGAUCUUAGGUAAAUAAAGGAACUUCAACUUCAUCCUGUGCUUUGGGAGAGACAGUGUCAAGGGAGAGGGGAAGUCAAAGUGACCUUAAGCCUUCUUCAGUUCAGCAUGUCAAAGCUCCACAUUUUGGGGCACUGGUUUCUGAGCCCCAACAAUAUGCUAACCAUAAAACUUUUAUAAGAAAGCAAAAGAGAUUAGAAAGCUUUAGACUUCCUAUCCAAUACUAAAGUAUUCACAAGACAAUGAGAAACAUAUUCUCAUAGCAAACAUUUUCUGUUUUUCUUAUUAAUAACUAAAUGUUUCAAUAAGAUAUUUCAAGUUCUAGAACCACUACCACUCGUGAAGUCUAAAUGUGUAUUUCUGGAGUCAUUAAUUUAUUAGCACAUGAUGGAUUAUGUUUAUGUAGUUUGACACCUUACACUUUCCACUGGUAGUAAGUAAAACAUUCAGAAAAGGGUGAACUUGUUUUUGUGAACUGGUUGUCUUACUACAAUAUGGAUCUGUAUUUAAUCUAAGGCUCUGCAUUUGAACUAGGGAGGUGGAAGAUUUUUGGAUUUCUAAUGGAGCUUGAAGUAAAGGUAGAGGCCGGGUGUGGUGGCUAACGCCUGUAAUACCAGCACUUUGGGAGGCUGAGGCGGGUG